rnacentral:rRNA from 1 species
AGCGGCGGACGGGUGAGUAACGCGUGGGAAUAUGCCCUUCUCUAAGGAAUAGCCUCGGGAAACUGAGAGUAAUACCUUAUACGCCCUUCGGGGGAAAGAUUUAUCGGAGAAGGAUUAGCCCGCGUUAGAUUAGGUAGUUGGUGGGGUAAUGGCCUACCAAGCCUACGAUCUAUAGCUGGUUUGAGAGGAUGAUCAGCCACACUGGGACUGAGACACGGCCCAGACUCCUACGGGAGGCAGCAGUAGGGAAUCUUAGACAAUGGGGGAAACCCUGAUCUAGCCAUGCCGCGUGUGUGAUGAAGGCCUUAGGGUCGUAAAGCACUUUCGCCAGAGAUGAUAAUGACAGUAUCUGGUAAAGAAACCCCGGCUAACUCCGUGCCAGCAGCCGCGGUAAUACGGAGGGGGUUAGCGUUGUUCGGAAUUACUGGGCGUAAAGCGCACGUAGGCGGAUUAGUAAGUUAAGGGUGAAAUCCCAGGGCUCAACCCUGGAACUGCCUUUAAUACUGCUAGUCUUGAGUUCGAGAGAGGUAAGUGGAAUUCCAAGUGUAGAGGUGAAAUUCGUAGAUAUUUGGAGGAACACCAGUGGCGAAGCGGCUUACUGGCUCGAAACUGACGCUGAGGUGCGAAAGUGUGGGGAGCAAACAGGAUAAGAUACCCUGGUAGUCCACACCGA